CCUACGGGUGGCAGCCGUGAGGAAUAUUGGUCAAUGGGCGCGAGCCUGAACCAGCCAAGUCGCGUGAGGGAAGACGGUCCUAUGGAUUGUAAACCUCUUUUGUCGGGGCGCAAAAGACGCCACGCGUGGCGUUCCGAGAGUACCCGAAGAAAAAGCAUCGGCUAACUCCGUGCCAGCAGCCGCGGUAAUCCGGAGGAUGCGAGCGUUAUCCGGAUUGAUUGGGUUUAAAGGGGGCGCAGGCGGAAGAUCAAGUCAGCGGUAAAAUUGAGAGGCUCAACCUCUUCGAGCCGUUGAAACUGGUGUUCUUGAGUGAGCGAGAAGUAGGCGGAAUGCGUGGUGGAGCGGUGAAAUGCAUAGAUAUCACGCAGAACUCCGAUUGCGAAGGCAGCACACCGGCGCUCAACUGACGCGCAUGCACGAAAGUGUGGGUAUCGAACAGGAGUAGAUACCCUUGUAGUC
rnacentral:rRNA from 1 species